UGAGGUAUUCUGGUGCUAGAAGCCUCAGGGGUGGUGUUCUAGCACCUUCAUGUGUCUUUGACUUUGGACAUGUUGGCAGGGUAUUUUAAAAGCUAUAACUACUGUAGUUUUCCAGUGUUCAUUGCUGCUUUAGCAAACCAUGCUGUCUUACUGGUGGUACUUUCUUCUGGCCACUGCACUGUAGAUAAUUCAUUGGAAACAAGAUUUAUGCACCACACAAAAGGUUAAAUGCUGUCACCAUGUUGGAGUGGUUUCUUUUCUCUUUUUUUUCCCCCCACCUCCAGGUUUAUCUUUCCUCUAAUAACCUGCAUGUAGCAUUAAACACACACACACACACACACACACACACACACACACACACACACACACACACAGCCCUUCUUAUCACACUAAUGGUUUUCACUCUGAGUUUUCACCUUCUAGCCACGUCUGCCCUUCAGCUUGCAGACGAGAUUGAGAAAUCCUUGGAAAAUUUGGUUCUGAUUUUCUUUUUCUUUUUGGUUUAUUUAUUUGAAACCCAGACACCCUUGGAAACUGAAGUGCGUUUGUGUGACUUUCUGUUUGUUUCCGAGAAGGGCCAAUGACAGUCUGAGUGAUCCCCAUGCCCUGUGUCUAAUCCCUCUAGUGAUUGAAGCUGUGUAGCAUUUUAACAUAUAUAUAUAAAUAUAUUCACAAAUAUAUUCAUAUAAACAGUAUACGUUUUGAACCAGUUAUUUGUUAAAGAAAGUUUAUUCAAUGAAGAUGAAAUUAAAAAAGAAAGAAAGAAAACAGUCUACCCCAGAGAUUGAAAAUUUUCCAGUCCUAGCUGGUUUUUUCCUGUGUGCAGAACUGACUCAUUGCUUGGAAUGUCAGACACAAACAUGACAAAUAACAGCACUUCAUCUUUUUAAGUAACAUUGCCAAGAGAAGAAUUUUCCUGGGAGAGUGCUUUCCCAUCAGCCAAAUCUCCUGAGCAGUCCUCAGCACUAGCACUUUCUGGGGGUUGAGUAGAAACAAAGUAUUCUUUGGCAUCCAAACUGAGAGAGAGAGAGAGAGAGAGAGAGGCGGGUGGCAGCCCUUUGUGAGAUACAUGGUGGCCAUCUUGUCAGACCUUCACCCGGAGCUCAUGAAAAGCUUUUCUGUUGUGUUAUUUGCAGUGCAGAUGAUGUCUGUGUGACAACAUAAUGGUUCUUCACUUUUUUUCCUUCAAUUUUGAUUUUUUUUUUUGCUGUGUUAUCAAAAACUUGAAUACUGUGAGAAGAAGUGAAUUUUCAGUUGAUGAAUCAGCAUCUUGUUCCCAUGGUGAUAACACUAACUGAAUAUAUCUAUGAGGGCAUGUAUUAGUUAUUGGAAAACCAUACAACACUAACAGUACAUAGCUGCAAUGUUGUACAAUGGCUGAUUUAACUAAAUAAAAUGUAUAAGUGUUAAGUGUG
rnacentral:lncRNA from 1 species